UGCAGAUGUGAUAAAACAAGGGGUUGAUGAUGGACCAGCUGUUUAGAGAUAAUUAGUCAGAGUCCUGUGUUGCUUCUGAAAUGCACUGUGUAUGCUGUUCUUCUGCAGUAAGCUGUGAGGGAGGCUGUCAGAACGGGGGGGAAUGCAUCUCUGUCAAUGGAGUUGUGAAAUGCCUUUGUGCUUCUGGCUGGACAGGAUCAAGAUGCCAAGAAGCAAUUUGUCCUCAAGGUUGUCGGAAUAAUGGAGCUUGUGUGGCUCCUGGGAUUUGUAGCUGUCCGGCGGGAUGGGUCGGCGGAGCGUGUCACUUAGCUCUCUGUGAGCUCCCUUGUCAGCACGGGGGGAAAUGCAUCGCUCCCAACGUCUGCAGGUGUCGGCUGCCCUACUCGGGUCUGCAGUGCACAAAGAAAAGGAAGGAAUGAAGAAAAUUCAGUAAAAUUCAACUGCGUCUUCUUCGUGGAACUCUUUGUGCAGAGGUGGAGUCAGCAGCAGUGGGGGACCUUAAAAGAACACUUGGUAACUAAUUACUUUCAGAUAGGUUGUUGUGGUUUUUUUUUGUCUUCAGUAUAUUAAGUAAAGGCUUUUCUGUAUGAAGGAAAAGUACAGCUGAUUGUAACACAGCUGUUACAAGUGUCCAAGUGUGUGUAGUGUAUGGCACGUGGCUUCUUCUGUCCUCAUUUUUUUUCUAAGCAGAAGUAUCAUGUCUUGGUUGAUGCAGCUGACCUUGAAAUAAAAUUUGCUCUUCAAAUAAAGUACUUCAGAAUA